rnacentral:rRNA from 1 species
GAGUAAUGUCUGGGGAUCUGCCCGAUAGAGGGGGAUAACCACUGGAAACGGUGGCUAAUACCGCAUAACGUCGCAAGACCAAAGAGGGGGACCUUCGGGCCUCUCACUAUCGGAUGAACCCAGAUGGGAUUAGCUAGUAGGCGGGGUAAUGGSCCACCUAGGCGACRAUCCCUAGCUGGUCUGAGAGGAUGACCAGCCACACUGGAACUGAGACACGGUCCAGACUCCUACGGGAGGCAGCAGUGGGGAAUAUUGCACAAUGGGCGCAAGCCUGAUGCAGCCAUGCCGCGUGUAUGAARAARGCCUUCGGGUUGUAAAGUACUUUCAGCGGGGAGGAAGGCGAYGGGGUUAAUAACCCYGUCGAUUGACGUUACCCGCAGAARAAGCACCGGCUAACUCCGUGCCAGCAGCCGCGGUAAUACGGAGGGUGCAAGCGUUAAUCGGAAUUACUGGGCGUAAAGCGCACGCAGGCGGUCUGUUAAGUCAGAUGUGAAAUCCCCGGGCUUAACCUGGGAACUGCAUUUGAAACUGGCAGGCUUGAGUCUUGUAGAGGGGGGUAGAAUUCCAGGUGUAGCGGUGAAAUGCGUAGAGAUCUGGAGGAAUACCGGUGGCGAAGGCGGCCCCCUGGACA